rnacentral:rRNA from 1 species
AGUCGAGCGAACAGAUAAGGAGCUUGCUCCUUUGACGUUAGCGGCGGACGGGUGAGUAACACGUGGGUAACCUACCUAUAAGACUGGGAUAACUUCGGGAAACCGGAGCUAAUACCGGAUAACAUUUGGAACCGCAUGGUUCUAAAGUGAAAGAUGGUUUUGCUAUCACUUAUAGAUGGACCCGCGCCGUAUUAGCUAGUUGGUAAGGUAACGGCUUACCAAGGCGACGAUACGUAGCCGACCUGAGAGGGUGAUCGGCCACACUGGAACUGAGACACGGUCCAGACUCCUACGGGAGGCAGCAGUAGGGAAUCUUCCGCAAUGGGCGAAAGCCUGACGGAGCAACGCCGCGUGAGUGAUGAAGGGUUUCGGCUCGUAAAACUCUGUUAUUAGGGAAGAACAAACGUGUAAGUAACUGUGCACGUCUUGACGGUACCUAAUCAGAAAGCCACGGCUAACUACGUGCCAGCAGCCGCGGUAAUACGUAGGUGGCAAGCGUUAUCCGGAAUUAUUGGGCGUAAAGCGCGCGUAGGCGGUUUCUUAAGUCUGAUGUGAAAGCCCACGGCUCAACCGUGGAGGGUCAUUGGAAACUGGGAAACUUGAGUGCAGAAGAGGAAAGUGGAAUUCCAUGUGUAGCGGUGAAAUGCGCAGAGAUAUGGAGGAACACCAGUGGCGAAGGCGACUUUCUGGUCUGUAACUGACGCUGAUGUGCGAAAGCGUGGGGAUCAAACAGGAUUAGAUACCCUGGUAGUCCACGCCGUAAACGAUGAGUGCUAAGUGUUAGGGGGUUUCCGCCCCUUAGUGCUGCAGCUAACGCAUUAAGCACUCCGCCUGGGGAGUACGACCGCAAGGUUGAAACUCAAAGGAAUUGACGGGGACCCGCACAAGCGGUGGAGCAUGUGGUUUAAUUCGAAGCAACGCGAAGAACCUUACCAAAUCUUGACAUCCUUUGAAAACUCUAGAGAUAGAGCCUUCCCCUUCGGGGGACAAAGUGACAGGUGGUGCAUGGUUGUCGUCAGCUCGUGUCGUGAGAUGUUGGGUUAAGUCCCGCAACGAGCGCAACCCUUAAGCUUAGUUGCCAUCAUUAAGUUGGGCACUCUAGGUUGACUGCCGGUGACAAACCGGAGGAAGGUGGGGAUGACGUCAAAUCAUCAUGCCCCUUAUGAUUUGGGCUACACACGUGCUACAAUGGACAAUACAAAGGGCAGCUAAACCGCGAGGUCAUGCAAAUCCCAUAAAGUUGUUCUCAGUUCGGAUUGUAGUCUGCAACUCGACUACAUGAAGCUGGAAUCGCUAGUAAUCGUAGAUCAGCAUGCUACGGUGAAUACGUUCCCGGGUCUUGUACACACCGCCCGUCACACCACGAGAGUUUGUAACACCCGAAGCCGGUGGAGUAACCAUUUAUGGAGCUAGCCGUCGAA